UACAGAGGGUGCGAGCGUUAAUCGGAAUUACUGGGCGUAAAGGGCGCGUAGGUGGAUUAACAAGUCAGAUGUGAAAUCCCUGGGCUUAACCUAGGAAUUGCGUUUGAGACUGUUAGUCUAGAGUUUGGGAGAGGGAAGUGGAAUUUCCGGUGUAGCGGUGAAAUGCGUAGAUAUCGGAAGGAACAUCAGUGGCGAAGGCGACUUCCUGGCCCGAUACUGACAC
rnacentral:rRNA from 1 species